GACGAACGCUGGCGGCGUGCUUAACACAUGCAAGUCGAACGGAAAGGCCCUGCUUUUGUGGGGUGCUCGAGUGGCGAACGGGUGAGUAACACGUGAGUAACCUGCCCUUGACUUUGGGAUAACUUCAGGAAACUGGGGCUAAUACCGGAUAGGAGCUCCUGCUGCAUGGUGGGGGUUGGAAAGUUACGGCGGUUGGGGAUGGACUCGCGGCUUAUCAGCUUGUUGGUGGGGUAGUGGCUUACCAAGGCUUUGACGGGUAGCCGGCCUGAGAGGGUGACCGGCCACAUUGGGACUGAGAUACGGCCCAGACUCCUACGGGAGGCAGCAGUGGGGAAUAUUGCACAAUGAGCGGAAGCCUGAUGCAGCAACGCCGCGUGCGGGAUGACGGCCUUCGGGUUGUAAACCGCUUUCGCCUGUGACGAAGCGUGAGUGACGGUAAUGGGUAAAGAAGCACCGGCUAACUACGUG
rnacentral:rRNA from 1 species